rnacentral:rRNA from 1 species
UACGGAAUGUGCAAACGUUAUUCGGAAUCACUGGGCUUAAAGAGUCCGUAGGCGGCAUGUUAGGGGAGGUGUGAAAUCCCCCGGCUCAACCGAGGAAUUGCGCUUCAAACCGGCGUGCUAGAGGAAGAUAGAGGUGGGCGGAACUGAUGGUGGAGCGGUGAAAUGCGUUGAUAUCAUCAGGAACACCGGAGGCGAAGGCGGCCCACUGGGUCUUUUCUGACGCUGAGGGACGAAAGCUAGGGGAGCGAACGGG